rnacentral:snRNA from 1 species
GUUGCUUUUUGAUCCUUC